rnacentral:rRNA from 1 species
CUACGGGGGGCUGCAGUGAGGAAUAUUGGACAAUGGUCGAAAGACUGAUCCAGCCAUGCCGCGUGCAGGAUGACUGCCCUAUGGGUUGUAAACUGCUUUUAUACGGGAAGAAAAACACCUACGUGUAGGUGACUGACGGUACCGUAAGAAUAAGGACCGGCUAACUCCGUGCCAGCAGCCGCGGUAAUACGGAGGGUCCAAGCGUUAUCCGGAAUCAUUGGGUUUAAAGGGUCCGUAGGCGGGCUAUUAAGUCAGAGGUGAAAGUUUGCAGCUCAACUGUAAAAUUGCCUUUGAUACUGAUAGUCUUGAAUUGUAGUGAAGUGGUUAGAAUAUGUGGUGUAGCGGUGAAAUGCAUAGAUAUCACAUAGAAUACCGAUUGCGAAGGCAGAUCACUAACUAUAUAUUGACGCUGAGGGACGAAAGCGUGGGGAGCGAACGGGAUUAGAUACCCCUGUAGUC